rnacentral:rRNA from 1 species
UACGUAGGGUGCAAGCGUUUGUCCGGAAUUAUUGGGCGUAAAGAGCUCGUAGGCGGCUUGUCGCGUCGGCUGUGAAAUCCCGUGGCUCAACUGCGGGUCUGCAGCCGAUACGGGCAGGCUAGAGUUCGGUAGGGGAGACUGGAAUUCCUGGUGUAGCGGUGAAAUGCGCAGAUAUCAGGAGGAACACCGGUGGCGAAGGCGGGUCUCUGGGCCGAUACUGACGCUGAGGAGCGAAAGCGUGGGGAGCGAACAGG